UACGAAGGGUGCAAACGUUGCUCGGAAUUAUUGGGCGUAAAGCGCAUGUAGGCGGCUCGGAAAGUCGGAUGUGAAAGCCCAGGGCUCAACCCUGGAAGUGCACUCGAAACUCCCGAGCUGGAGUCCCGGAGAGGAAGGCGGAAUUCUCGGUGUAGAGGUGAAAUUCGUAGAUAUCGAGAGGAACACCUGUGGCGAAGGCGGCCUUCUGGACGGUGACUGACGCUGAGAUGCGAAAGCGUGGGGAGCAAACAGG
rnacentral:rRNA from 1 species